UGAUAUCAAAAAAUUUUCAAAUUGGCUCUAUAAAAAAUGGCAGAUUAACUUAAGAUUAACAAAAUGAAACAACUGCUUAAAGAUAAUGUUAGAAAAAGCCAAUCACCCAAGCACUAAAGCAAUUUUUAAUAACAAUUCUACUAUGACAUUUUCAGUCAGUAUCCAAUCAUCCUCAGUACCAUAUAUAGAAAUAGACUUACAACAUAGCAAGAACAAAUCUUCAAAUAUAAUAUUUCUGAGAACAUAUAACCACAUAAAGGCUCAUAAAGAUCUUAAGGCAUUGUUGUAUAAAGUUAAAAAGUCCUGCUCCACCUAGAAGAUAUUUCUGUGAACUAUAACUCUGCUUUAAUAACCAAUGCAUAGUAAGAACAUAGUGCACCAUCUCUGAUCUAUGAAACAUGAGAAGCCAGGCUGAUCCAACCUAUCAGAUUGCCAGCCUUUCCCCUUGCUUCAAAUGCAUAAUGUUGCUGUUGCAAUUAGAAAUAGCCAUGAAAGGCAGUGUUAAAUGCAACAAACAACUGAUCCCAAAGAAUAAUAAUGAUAACUUACUCAAAAGCAAAGUUCAAUGGCAAUAGGUUGUUCUGCUACAGAUCACUGAUACAUUGGUUUGCCCCUGACAAAGUUGACAACUGGCUGAGAACAGCAACUGCAAGAUCCUUGCUUGUAACAGCAGCUCAAUAGCACCUAGAUCUCAGAUAACUUUUGUUUCUAGUGAUGGGGAGAGCACUCAAGAUGCAUGCCUCCCUUGUUUAGAAUCAAAGGAAAUGAUUAUGGGGACACACAUUAUUACUUUUAUGAACUUCAAACAGCAAAUCUCAUUUAGUUUUUGAUUAUGACUAUUAAUGUAUAAUAUUUUCAUGCAGAAAAUGUUUUUAGGGUUCAUGUACUAUGAAGAGGUAUUCUAUCAAUGCAACAUUUAUAAUAUUAUAAUGGAAUUUGGCAUUAAUUUGCAAUUUUUAUGAUUAGCCAUUUUAACUUGUAUGCUAUUUACUUUAUAAACACACACAGAAAUCAAUUUUUUGUAUUCUUUUGAUACCAAAUAUUGCAUGACUGCUAAAAAUUAAAUCAUCAGGUGCCAC
rnacentral:lncRNA from 1 species